CAAAAUUGACAAGUCCGAAGCUCUUACCAAGCAAGCUUUGAUGGAUCAGCUAGGCCUUGAAUCAAUUAAAGACAGAGAGGUGUGCUGCUAUAUGAUCUCAUGCAAGGAUUCCAUAAACAUAGAUGUUGUCAUUGAUUGGCUUAUCAAGCACUCAAAAACAGCAAAAUGAUCCAUGAUUUGACUUCUUUUUGGUGUUUCAUUGAAGAAUGAUCAAGGUCGGAGAAGCAAGAUUGGUGAUAUACACCCUGGUCAAAUCUGUCGUCCCUCAUUUAGUUGUGGUAAUAAGUGCUUUGUAUAGUGCUUUGACAAUUGAAGCUAGUUUUCCAUGGAUUAUCUGUUUUCGUUUAUAUUUGUACUGUUCCUUUCAUAUAUUUCUGAAUUUUGUCAAGUAUAGGCAGUGACAUUAACCUGAUUAGCAGAUGUUUGGGUUUC